AUGAACGCUAGCGGCAGGCCUAACACAUGCAAGUCGAGGGGCAGCACAGGUAGCAAUACUGGGUGGCGACCGGCGGAUGGGUGCGUAACGCGUAUGCAACCUACCAUUGAUUGGGGCAUAGCCCGAAGAAAUUCGGAUUAAUACUCCAUAAUAUUCAUCAAAGGCAUCUUUUAUGAAUUAAAGCUUUUGCGAUCAAUGAUGGGCAUGCGUGACAUUAGUUAGUUGGCGAGGUAACGGCUCACCAAAACGAUGAUGUCUAGGGGUUCUGAGAGGAUUAUCCCCCACACUGGUACUGAGACACGGACCAGACUCCUACGGGAGGCAGCAGUGAGGAAUAUUGGUCAAUGGACGCAAGUCUGAACCAGCCAUGCCGCGUGCAGGAUGACGGCCCUAUGGGUUGUAAACUGCUUUUCCACGGGAAGAACCCUCCGACGUGUCGGAGACUGACGGUACCGUGGGAAUAAGCAUCGGCUAACUCCGUG
rnacentral:rRNA from 1 species